rnacentral:rRNA from 1 species
UUAACACAUGCAAGUCGAACGAAGCCCUAGGGCUUAGUGGCGGACGGGUGAGUAACGCGUGAGAAUCUACCUUCUAGAUGGGGACAACCGUUGGAAACGACAGCUAAUCCCCAAUAAGCCGAGAGGUGAAACGGGUAUCCGCUAGAAGAGGAGCUCGCGUCCGAUUAGUUAGUUGGUGGGGUAAAAGCCUACCAAGGCAGCGAUCGGUAGCUGGUCUGAGAGGAUGAGCAGCCACACUGGGACUGAGACACGGCCCAGACUCCUACGGGAGGCAGCAGUGGGGAAUUUUCCGCAAUGGGCGAAAGCCUGACGGAGCAACGCCGCGUGUGGGAAGAAGGCUCUUGGGCUGUCAACCACUUUUCUCAGGGAAGAAGACCUGACGGUACCUGAGGAAUCAGCCUCGGCUAACUCCGUGCCAGCAGCCGCGGUAAUACGGAGGAGGCAAGCGUUAUCCGGAAUUAUUGGGCGUAAAGCGUCCGCAGGGGGCGCAUCAAGUCUGCUGUUAAAGGUCGGAGCUAAACUCCGGUAGAGCAGUGGAAACUGGUGCGCUAGAGGGCGACAGGGGUAGAGGGAAUUCCCAGUGUAGCGGUGAAAUGCGUAGAGAUUGGGAAGAACACCGGUGGCGAAAGCGCUCUACUGGGUCGCACCUGACCCUCAGGGACGAAAGCUAAGGUAGCGAAAGGGAUUAGAUACCCCUGUAGUCUUAGCCGUAAACGAUGGAUACUAGGCGUGGUUUGUAUCGACCCAAGCCGUGCCGAAGCUAACGCGUUAAGUAUCCCGCCUGGGGAGUACGCACGCAAGUGUGAAACUCAAAGGACUUGACGGGGGCCCGCACA